rnacentral:rRNA from 1 species
AGAAUCAACGCUGGCGGCGUGCCUAACACAUGCAAGUCGCACGAGAAAGGGGAGCAAUCCCUGAGUACAGUGGCGCACGGGUGAGUAACACGUGAAUAAUCUACCUCCGAGUGGGGAAUAACUGAGAGAAAUCUUAGCUAAUACCGCAUAAUACCCACGGGUCAAAGCAGCAAUGCGCUCGGAGAGGAGUUCGCGGCAGAUUAGUUAGUUGGCGGGGUAAUGGCCCACCAAGACGAUGAUCUGUAUCCGGCCUGAGAGGGCGCACGGACACACUGGAACUGAAACACGGUCCAGACUCCUACGGGAGGCAGCAGUGGGGAAUUUUUGCGCAAUGGGGGAAACCCUGACGCAGCAACGCCGCGUGGAGGAUGAAGCCCCUUGGGGUGUAAACUCCUUUCGAUCGGGAAGAUAAUGACGGUACCGAUAUAAGAAGCCCCGGCUAACUUCGCGCCAGCAGCCGC